AGAGUUUGAUCAUGGCUCAGGACGAACGCUGGCGGCGUGCUUAACACAUGCAAGUCGAACGGAAAGGCCCUUCGGGGUACUCGAGUGGCGAACGGGUGAGUAACACGUGGGUGAUCUGCCCUGCACUUUGGGAUAAGCCUGGGAAACUGGGUCUAAUACCGAAUAGGACCGCGCGCUUCAUGGUGUGUGGUGGAAAGCUUUUGCGGUGUGGGAUGGGCCCGCGGCCUAUCAGCUUGUUGGUGGGGUAAUGGCCUACCAAGGCGACGACGGGUAGCCGGCCUGAGAGGGUGACCGGCCACACUGGGACUGAGAUACGGCCCAGACUCCUACGGGAGGCAGCAGUGGGGAAUAUUGCACAAUGGGCGCAAGCCUGAUGCAGCGACGCCGCGUGAGGGAUGACGGCCUUCGGGUUGUAAACCUCUUUCAGUAGGGACGAAGCGAAAGUGACGGUACCUACAGAAGAAGGACCGGCCAACUACGUGCCAGCAGCCGCGGUAAUACGUAGGGUCCGAGCGUUGUCCGGAAUUACUGGGCGUAAAGAGCUCGUAGGUGGUUUGUCGCGUUGUUCGUGAAAACUCACAGCUUAACUGUGGGCGUGCGGGCGAUACGGGCAGACUAGAGUACUGCAGGGGAGACUGGAAUUCCUGGUGUAGCGGUGGAAUGCGCAGAUAUCAGGAGGAACACCGGUGGCGAAGGCGGGUCUCUGGGCAGUAACUGACGCUGAGGAGCGAAAGCGUGGGGAGCGAACAGGAUUAGAUACCCCGGUAGUCCAA
rnacentral:rRNA from 1 species